rnacentral:rRNA from 1 species
AUUGAACGCUGGCGGUAGGCCUAACACAUGCAAGUCGAGCGGAGCGGCGGACGGGUGCGUAAUGCCUAGGAAUCUGCCUGGUAGUGGGGGAUAACGUCCGGAAACGGGCGCUAAUACCGCAUACUAUCAGAUGAGCCUAGGUCGGAUUAGCUAGUUGGUGGGGUAAAGACAUACCAAGGCGACGAUCCGUAACUGGUCUGAGAGGAUGAUCAGUGAGACUGGAAAUGAGAGAAGGUCCAGACGCCUGAGUGAGGCAGCAGUGGGGAAUAUUGGACAGUGGGCGAAGGCCUGAUCCAGCAAUGCCGCGUGUGUGAAGAAGGUCUUCGGAUUGUAAAGCACUGUAAGUUGGGAGGCGUUACCAACAGAAUAAGCACCGGCUAACUUCGUGCCAGCAGCCGCGGUGAUUC